AUUCUAGCUUUGCCUAUUGGCUUAGAUCAAGUGUAGUAUCUGGUAAGUCAAAUAAUAUAAGAUAAAAAUAUACAUGUGACUGACUCAAACAGUUCUUUUCAGUUUAAUCUCUGAAAGUCCUCUACGGAGGACACAUUGAUUAUACUUAUUUUUGUAAAUGGUCUGCGAAUCUCUGGGCUUGCCUACGUUUGCAGACAAUGUGUCAUCGGUAUAACACUGCCUCCGAUUGACGCGAACACUU
rfam:Blumeria graminis f. sp. hordei DH14, WGS project CATH01000000 data, contig: 003453